rnacentral:rRNA from 1 species
GGGUGACCUCCGAUCAGGUAAGAAUACCCGCUGAACUUAAGCAUAUCAAUAAGCCGGAGGAAAAGGU